GUUCCGUAGGUGACCUGCGGAGGAUCAUUACCGAGUGAGGGCCCUCUGGGUCCAACCUCCCACCCGUGUUUAUUUUACCUUGUUGCUUCGGCGGGCCCGCCUUUACUGGCCGCCGGGGGGCUCACGCCCCCGGGCCCGCGCCCGCCGAAGACACCCUCGAACUCUGUCUGAAGAUUGAAGUCUGAGUGAAAAUAUAAAUUAUUUAAAACUUUCAACAACGGAUCUCUUGGUUCCGGCAUCGAUGAAGAACGCAGCGAAAUGCGAUACGUAAUGUGAAUUGCAAAUUCAGUGAAUCAUCGAGUCUUUGAACGCACAUUGCGCCCCCUGGUAUUCCGGGGGGCAUGCCUGUCCGAGCGUCAUUGCUGCCCUCAAGCCCGGCUUGUGUGUUGGGCCCCGUCCUCCGAUUUCCGGGGGACGGGCCCGAAAGGCAGCGGCGGCACCGCGUCCGGUCCUCGAGCGUAUGGGGCUUUGUCACCCGCUCUGUAGGCCCGGCCGGCGCUUGCCGAUCAACCCAAAUUUUUAUCCAGGUUGACCUCGGAUCAGGUAGGGAUACCCGCUGAACUUAAGCAUAUAAAU
rnacentral:rRNA from 1 species